UACGGAGGAUGCGAGCGUUAUCCGGAUUUAUUGGGUUUAAAGGGUGCGCAGGCGGCACGGCAAGCCGGCGGUCAAAUCGCGGGGCUCAACCCCGCCCAGCCGUCGGAACUGCCGGGCUAGAGUGGGCGAGAAGUGCGCGGAAUGCGUGGUGUAGCGGUGAAUGCAUAGAUAUCACGCAGAACUCCGAUUGCGAAGGCAGCGCACCGGCGCCCUACUGACGCUCAGGCACGAAAGCGUGGGUAUCGAACAGG
rnacentral:rRNA from 1 species